rnacentral:lncRNA from 1 species
CAGAUUUUAACAGAUGAAACAAUUAGCCAAACAUAGUGGUGGUGCAUGCCUGUAGUCCCAACUACUCAGGAGGCCGAGACGGGAGGAUCACUUGAGCCCAGAAGUUUGAGAUUACUCUGAGCUGUGAUGGCACCACUGCACUCCAGCCUGGAUGACAAAGGUCUGAUGGAAGGAAGUCUAUGGAGGAUACCGAGGCAACACAAAGGAGGAGAUGGUCUCUUCUACCUGUGGAGACUGGGCAUCCUUCACCGAAGCACGAAGCAGAAUCAAGCUGUUGCCAUGAAGCUUGUUUCAAGAGCUCAGAAAUACUCCAGGGACUCCUUUA